UGAGUUGUAAUUUGAAGAGGAUGUCUUUUGUUUAAACUUGAGAUUGAAGUCUUCUGGAACGUCGCAUCAUGGAGGGUAAUAAUCCCGUAUGUGAUUUCAAGUUUUAUAAGCAAUAUAAGACUCCUUCAAUGAGUCGAGUUGUUUGGGAAUGCAGCUCUAAAUGGGAGGUAAAUUUCUUCUAAAGCUAAAUAUAGGCUAGAGACCGAUAGUGAACAAGUAGAGUGAUCGAAAGAUGAAAAGAACUUUGGAAAGAGAGUUAAACAGUAUGUGAAAUUGUUGGAAGGGAAGCAUUUGCAAUCAGAUUUGUGUUGUUAAAAUUCACCUACACAUUCUAUGUGCCUAGAGCAUUUUUUUUCAACACUUGUCAACAUCAAUUUGAGCAGUGAUAUAAUCUUGGAUAAAAUGUGGCUCAUUGAGUGUUAUAGUUAUCCUUGCUAAUCACUUGCAUAAAUUGAGGCUUGCGGGUUACCCAUGGAUGUUGACUUAAUGGUUGUAAGUGGCCCGUCUUGAAACACGGACCAAGGAGUCUAACGUUUACGCGAGUGUUUGGGUGUUAAACUCAAGUGCAUAAUGAAAGUGAAUGAAGGUGGGAGACUUCUUCUUGGAGUUGCACCAUCGACCGAUCUUGAAGUUUUCUGAUGGAUUUGAGUAUGAGCGUAAUUGUUGGGACCCGAAAGAUGGUGAACUAUGCCUGCUUAGGCUGAAGUCA
rnacentral:rRNA from 2 species